CAGUAGGGAGUGUUUCUGACACUGUGAAGCCUUUACCUAGCUCGGCCAUCACCAGUCAACUAAGUUGAAGUGUAUUUUGAAUCAAGGACUGUAAUGGUUUAAA